rnacentral:rRNA from 1 species
GAGUGAUGAAGGCCUUCGGGUCGUAAAACUCUGUCCUCAAGGAAGAUAAUGACGGUACUUGAGGAGGAAGCCCCGGCUAACUACGUGCCAGCAGCCGCGGUAAUACGUAGGGGGCUAGCGUUAUCCGGAUUUACUGGGCGGAAAGGGUGCGUAGGCGGUCUUUCAAGUCAGGAGUGAAAGGCUACGGCUCAACCGUAGUAAGCUCUUGAAACUGGGAGACUUGAGUGCAGGAGAGGAGAGUGGAAUUCCUAGUGUAGCGGUGAAAUGCGUAGAUAUUAGGAGGAACACCAGUUGCGAAGGCGGCUCUCUGGACUGU